GUGCAGCCCAAAUUCUCAGGCCGCGUCUGUUCAACACUCUUAAAACUAUCGAGGCGCAGCCACGUUUUCCCUGGUGUUGGCGCAGUAUUCGCGCACCCCGGCUUGACC
rnacentral:sRNA from 1 species